rnacentral:misc_RNA from 1 species
UUUCCGCAGGUGAACCUGCGGAAGGAUCAUUAUUGGAUUUUGAAACUUCAGGCUGCUGCUGGCUCUCCUCGGAGGGCAUGUGCACGCUUGUUGUCCAUUAUUUCUCCCACUGUGCACAAAUUGUAGACCUUUCAGUAGGCCUAUGUUGUUUUUCACAAUCUCUGAAUGUAAUAGAAUGGUUUUGAAUCUUGGGAAAUACAAUACAACUUUCAGCAACGGAUCUCUUGGCUCUC